rnacentral:lncRNA from 10 species
CUGGCUGCAAGAAUCCCUCUUUGGCCACUAAACGGUUUUAGCAGAACCACAGAUUCGUUCUGAGGGGGACAAUUUGGAUUCGGAUUCAGCAAGAAGUAGAAAAGGUGCAGACGCGGCCAAGAACAGGGCUCCCUCUGCAAAGAAUCCAAGCCCAAAGGAAACGCGGAAGGGAUGGAGAAGAGAGACGCGGGAACGAGCAGGGAGUCUCUCCCGUCCUACACUGGCGACUCAAGGGGGCAUCGGCAGUCGGUGGGAGGCAGAGUGUGGUCUCCCAGCAGAGGCAAGUGUGCUGACCUCCAGGCCAGUGUCAGUGGAGGGGAGCUCUGAAGGGUCUGCAGACGCGCCCUCCGGAAACAUCAGGUUUCAGUGGCAUCCAUCCAGAUGAGGUUGGUGGCCCAAAUCCAAAUGUCCCAUUCCUCUGCCCCAUCAUGAGACGACGGGGCAGGGACCCACUGUGACCCGCGUCCGCGAUUAGAAUCGGGGACUGCCCGAGACCAGAGGCCGCCCGAGUCCCGGCUCGCUCCCCUCCUUGCGCCCUUCGCCGGGGCGGGCAGCCGGGCGGCCGCCGAGGGACAUCUCGCGGCUACACCCGCAGAGGGAAGUUCUCCCAGGCAGCCGGCGGAGCCGCAGGGGACUACGGAAAGGAGGAUGCAACGAGCCUGGGUCCCUCCGAGCUGAGUAGGGCCCGGAGUGGCCCAGAAGCGCUCGACUCCGAACGCAAAAAAUGCCUCCCGCAAACUUUUCCCGUGGGCGCCGGAGGGCCUGGAGCUGGCGGAGAGGAGGGCGCGAGUCCAGGCGGGGUCGGCCUGAAGGCAGCUGGGGUCUGGGCUUCGAGGGAAGGAACCGCAGCCGAGGCGGUGCCGGCCGCAGAAGGCUGAGAUGCUGUUUCUAACAAACCUCCCGAUGCUGCUGAUGCUGCAUAUCUGAAGACCACACUUUGAGAAGCAAGGAUCUAGGAGUUGUUUGUUAUUCAUGGAAUAAAUAUAUUUCCCAUCAUGUUCCAGCUGCUCUGGUUAAACAAGCCACUAUUGUCUUUUCCAGAAAGAUUUCUCUGACUCCAGCUCCCCUUUGGGUGCUCCUUUUUCUAAACUGUAAUUGAUUAAUAAUUCACCAUUUAUUUCAUGUGUGGAGCAGGGAUAGUGGUGCUUGCCUGAUGUGCAUUCCUUACAAACACCUACCUGGGCAUCGGGGACACAGUGUCCCCUCAAACAAUCUCUGCUGAUUAACUGGAAGAUAACACUAGCUUACAUUUUUGGAGGACAUACCAUGUGCCGGGUACCUAGCUAAGUGUUUUACAUGCAUUGUCUCCCUCAUUCAGCUACUACUGUCCUCAUUUCACAGAUGAACAAACAAAGGCCGAUCUGCCUUGUCGACCUCUGCCCACCACCAUAAUCCACAGGGGUACUGCCCGCUAGGGGGCAUUUUGGAAAUUUGCAGGUACUUUCAUUGGUCAUCACAAUGAUGGGAGGAGGGGGCCACUGACAUUUAGUUGGGGGUGGCCCCAGAUGCAGGAGAUUGGUCUGUGUCCCACAUGGCUUUCAUUUGUCAGACCUGACCUUUGCUUCAGUUGAAAUGUGCAUCGAAUUACGGUGGAACUUUAACUUUGUUUUACAUAUAAACACAAAAUGUUUUUGCAUCUUGUGAAUACACACAGGAAUUUCUGGAAAUGCAACUACUGUAUAAGUCUAGGAAGGGAUGGUACUCUUUUUACCACUUUGGAAAAUCAGGACACAGAAGCCAGUUCCAUUCAUGUUAUCUGUUUCAGCAAUCAACACAUAUAUGAUGCCCACAAGCCCAGUAAUUUCAUAUGUGUAUAUUUCUUUAGUUCCUGUUUCAAAAUAACAGCAAUUUAAAGAAAAAGUGUAAAAAAUAUUCCAGAG